rnacentral:rRNA from 1 species
ACUCCUACGGGAGGCAGCAGUGGGGAAUAUUGCACAAUGGGCGCAAGCCUGAUGCAGCCAUGCCGCGUGUGUGAAGAAGGCCUUCGGGUUGUAAAGCACUUUCAGUUGUGAGGAAGGUGGUGUCGUUAAUAGCGGCAUCAUUUGACGUUAGCAACAGAAGAAGCACCGGCUAACUCCGUGCCAGCAGCCGCGGUAAUACGGAGGGGUGCGAGCGUUAAUCGGAAUUACUGGGCGUAAAGCGCAUGCAGGUGGUUUGUUAAGUCAGAUGUGAAAGCCCGGGGCUCAACCUCGGAACUGCAUUUGAAACUGGCAGACUAGAGUACUGUAGAGGGGGUAGAAUUUCAGGUGUAGCGGUGAAAUGCGUAGAGAUCUGAAGGAAUACCGGUGGCGAAGGCGGCCCCCUGGACAGAUACUGACACUCAGAUGCGAAAGCGUGGGGAGCAAACAGGAUUAGAUACCCU